GGCUAAAUACUCCUAGCUGACCGAUAGUGAACUAGUACCGUGAGGGAAAGGCGAAAAGAACCCCGGUGAGGGGAGUGAAAUAGAACCUGAAACCGCGUACGUACAAGCAGUAGGAGCAGACUUGUUCUGUGACUGCGUACCUUUUGUAUAAUGGGUCAGCGACUUAUUGUAGCUAGCAAGCUUAACCGUUUAGGGUAGGCGUAGGGAAACCGAGUC
rnacentral:rRNA from 1 species